rnacentral:rRNA from 1 species
AGUGCAGCAGGCGAGAAUUUUUCUCAAUGGGCGAAAGCCUGAAGGAGCGACGCCGCGUGGGGGAUGAAUGGCUUCGGCCCGUAAACCCCUGUCAUUUGUGAACAAAUUAUUUCACCUAACACGUGAAGUAUUGAUUGUAACGGAAGAGGAAGGGACGGCUAACUCUGUGCCAGCAGCCGCGGUAAUACAGAGGUCCCAAGCGUUGUUCGGAUUCACUGGGCGUAAAGGGUGCGUAGGCGGUUUGAUAAGUCUGAUGUGAAAUCCCGCAGCUUAACUGCGGAACUGCAUUGGAAACUGUUUGACUAGAGGAAUGGAGGGGAGACUGGAAUACUUGGUGUAGCAGUGAAAUGCGUAGAUAUCAAGUGGAACACCAGUGGCGAAGGCGAGUCUCUAGACAUUUCCUGACGCUGAGGCACGAAAGCCAGGGGAGCAAACGGGAUUAGAUACCCCGGUAGC